GAUGAAGAACGCAGCGAAAUGCGAUAAGUAAUGCGAAUUGCAGAAUUUCCGUGAAUCAUCGAAUCUUUGAACGCACAUUGCGCCCGCCAGUAUUCUGGCGGGCAUGCCUGUUCGAGCGUCAUUACAACCCUCAGGCCCCCGGGCCUGGCGUUGGGGAUCGGCGGAGCCCCCCGUGGGCACACGCCGUCCCCCAAAUACAGUGGCGGUCCCGCCGCAGCUUCCAUCGCGUAGUAGCUAACACCUCGCGACUGGAGAGCGGCGCGGCCACGCCGUAAAACACCCAACUCUUCUGAAGUUGACCUCGAAUCAGGUAGGAAUACCCGCUGAACUUAAGCAUAUCAAUAAGCGGAGGA
rnacentral:misc_RNA from 1 species